UGUUGGCACAGAAACUGAAGAAUCGCGACGUUACCAACACCCUGCAGCAGCUGCCACUGCUCACUGCCAUGGAGGAGGAGUCGUCCGGGGGCAUUUCCGGCAGCCUGGUGAAAUCCAUCCUGCAGCAUAUCCUCUGGCUGAAAGUCACCUCAGCCAGCAUCCAUCAGCUGCAGGUGCAGCCCCUGGCCGACAGCAGGCAGCUGAUGGUCAAGGCCCCCUUGGACAUGGUGGCUGGAUUCAACACGUGAGUAUCCCCUGAGUCAGGCACCGCGAGCCAGACAGUUUCUUCCACUCCUCCCCGCCCUCAUCCUCCAUGCAGGAAAAGAGAGUUCCAAGCAGAGGGGAGAGUAAGGGCAAAGGCUCUCGGGCAAGAGUACAGUUGCCUGGUUCACAGGGUGGCCUAAGGAAGGAGGGGCGGGGACAGCCGGGUGGGAGGUCAGAUUGUACAGGGCCUGUGAGCCAAGGUGAGGACUUGGUUUUACCAAGGAAGACAGGAGCCAUACAGGGCUCUGAGCAGAGGAGGGACUUGGCGUGGUGUCACCUUCUUCAAGAAGGCUCCUGGCUGCUGCAGGGGGAGCGGGCAAGGGUGGAGGCAGGGAGGUUAUCCAGAAGCUACUGUAAUAAUUCAGGAGGGGACAAUAAGACUGUGGACCAGGGUUUAGGAGCAGGAAGGUAGUGAGAAGAAGCUGGAUUCAAAAUAUGUCUUGGAGGACACAAGAGGAUUUGCUGACAGAUUCAAUUAGGGCUCGGGGUGGGGCUAGGAUGGUGGGGAGGUUGAAGGGUCAAGACAGUAUGGAGUGGCCAGAAAAAGGCAGGGGAGAUCAAGAGAGGAGAGGGGUUGGGGAAGGGUCCGUAGUUCAGUUUGUGUGUAUUAAUUGCUCAGUCGCGUCCAGCUCUUUGCGACCCUAUGGACUGUAGCCCACCAGGCUCCUCUGUCCAUAUACACAUUAAAUCUGAGACACCAGUAAGACGUUUGAGAAAGAAGCCAGGUAUAAGUUUGGAAGCUGGCAUGCGUAGAGGAUUUAAAUCAGAAGAGGAAUCCAAACACCGAGGCUGGGACACAGUGAGGUAUACACAUGAGGGGAUGAGGAGAACCCAGCAUGGAGCCCGAGAAGGGAGGAGCAAGAGGCAGGAGGCAGCGGCGGGCAGCAGCCGCGGCUUGAUCCAGCCUCGAGCCGGGCUGGAGCUCACAGCCUGGGGCUCCUCCACUCCCAGGCCCCUUUUCAAGACCAUUGUGGAGCUGCACAUGGAGGUGGAGGUCCAAGCCAUCAUCCACGUGGAGACAAGCGAGAAGGACCACGCCCGCCUGGUCCUCAGCGAUUGCUCCAACACCGGCGGGAGCCUGCGCAUCACCCUGCUGCACAAGCUCUCCUUCCUGCUCCAAUGCUUAGCUGACAAGGUCAUAAGCCUUCUGAUGCCAGCGCUCCCCAAACUGGUGAAAAGCGAGCUGUGUCCUGUGCUCAAGGCGGGCUUUGAGGAUAUGCGUGGGGAACUCUUGAACCUGACGAAGGUGCCCAUGCCUCUCAACUCUGAGCACCUGAAGCUUGAUUUUAUUUCUCCUGUCAUCGACCACGGUGUUGUCCAUCUCAUCCUGGGGGCCAGGUUGUUCAACUCGGAAGGAAAGGUGACUAAGCUGUUCAAUGAUGUUGGGGAUUCCCUGAAUCUGCCCACCCUGAACCAGACCCCCUUGAGGCUCACCGUGAGGAAGGAUGUGCUGGUCGCUAUCAUAGCUGCCUUGCUCCAUUCGGGAAAACUCACAGUCCUAUUGGACUCUGUGCUUCCUGAGGUAGCCCGCCAGCUGAAGUCAAGCAUCAAGGUGAUCGACGAAACGGCAGCAGAGCAGCUGGGGCCUACACAGAUCGUGAAGAUCCUGAGUCAGACGACCCCGAUGCUCAUUCUGGACCAGGGCAAUGCCAAGGUGUUCCAACUGAUCGUGCUGGAAAUAUUCGCCACCGAUAAAGACAGCCGCCCCCUCUUCACCCUGGGCAUUGAAGCCUCCUCGGACGUUCAGUUUCACGUCGAAGAUUGCCUACUUGUGCUCAGCUUUAAUGAAAUCAGAGCUGAUCGGAUCCAUCUGAUGAACUCAGACAUCGGCCUGUUCAACCCUAAACUUCUGAACAACAUCACCACGGAGAUCCUCACCUCCAUCCUGCUGCCAAACGAGAAUGGCAAAUUAAGAUCUGGGAUCCCAGUGUCAAUGAUGAAAGACUUGGGAUUUAAGUCUGUUUCGUUGUCUCUGACCAAGGUGAGUGGAGUUAAACACCCUCCCCCGGGGAGGACACAGUCAGAGGGAGAGCCCUGGGAUGGGAGAUAG
rnacentral:lncRNA from 1 species